rnacentral:rRNA from 1 species
UUCUUCGGAUGAAGAGGUUUGUGACUGAGUGGCGGACGGGUGAGUAACGCGUGGGUAACCUGCCUCAUACAGGGGGAUAACAGUUAGAAAUGACUGCUAAUACCGCAUAAAACAGCAGCACCGCAUGGUGCAACUGUCAAAGAUUUAUCGGUGUAAGAUGGACCCGCGUCUGAUUAGCCAGUUGGUGGGGUAACGGCCUACCAAAGCGACGAUCAGUAGCCGACCUGAGAGGGUGACCGGCCACAUUGGGACUGAGACACGGCCCAAACUCC